CCUACGGGAGGCAGCAGUAAGGAAUAUUGGUCAAUGGAGGGAACUCUGAACCAGCCAUCCCGCGUGCAGGACGAAGGCCCUCUGGGUUGUAAACUGCUUUUACCAGGAAAGAAACGAGUGGUCUUGACCGCUCCUGACGGUACCUGGGGAAUAAGCACCGGCUAACUCCGUGCCAGCAGCCGCGGUAAUACGGAGGGUGCGAGCGUUAUCCGGAAUCACUGGGUUUAAAGGGUGCGUAGGCGGCUUGAUAAGUCAGGGGUGAAAGCUCACCGCUCAACGGUGGAACUGCCCUUGAUACUGUCAGGCUCGAAUUGGGUUGAGGCAGGCGGAAUGUGGCAUGUAGCGGUGAAAUGCUUAGAUAUGCCAUAGAACACCGAUUGCGAAGGCAGCCUGCCAAGCCUUGAUUGACGCUGAGGCACGAAAGCGUGGGGAGCGGAACAGGAUUAGAUACCCUGGUAGUCCACGCCCUAAACGAUGCUUACUCGACGUCCGGCCCUCGAGGCCGUGCGUCCAGCGAAGCGUUAAGAGCCACCUGGGGAGUACGCCGGCAACGGUGAAACGUUCAAAUUGAAUUGCGGCGNGNGACGNGCGACGGCGACGACGAGGGAGGAGG
rnacentral:rRNA from 1 species